UACGGAGGGGGCUAGCGUUGUUCGGAAUUACUGGGCGUAAAGCGCACGUAGGCGGCUUUGUAAGUUAGAGGUGAAAGCCCGGGGCUCAACUCCGGAAUUGCCUUUAAGACUGCAUCGCUAGAAUUGUGGAGGGGUAAGUGGAAUUCCGAGUGUAGAGGUGAAAUUCGUAGAUAUUCGGAAGAACACCAGUGGCGAAGGCGACUUACUGGACACAUAUUGACGCUGAGGUGCGAAAGCGUGGGGAGCAAACAGG
rnacentral:rRNA from 1 species